rnacentral:rRNA from 1 species
UACGAAGGGGGCUAGCGUUGCUCGGAAUCACUGGGCGUAAAGCGCACGUAGGCGGAUCUUUAAGUCAGGGGUGAAAUCCUGGAGCUCAACUCCAGAACUGCCUUUGAUACUGAGGAUCUUGAGUCCGGGGAGAGGUGAGUGGAACUCCGAGUGUAGAGGUGAAAUUCGUAGAUAUUCGGAAGAACACCAGUGGCGAAGGCGGCUCACUGGCCCGGUACUGACGCUGAGGUGCGAAAGCGUGGGGAGCAAACAGG